UCCUGCGCAGACAAGCAACUCAUCCUCCUCUGUCGCAAUGACCCGAGCCCGCGGCCUGGGAGCUGCCCGUCGCCUCCGAGGUGCACAGACUUCUUUGACGGAAACGUUCCUACUUGCUACGUCGACAGCGACUGUCCUCGGAACGAGAAAUGUUGCGAGGACGCUUGCAAUGCUGGCAAGAUCUGUAUUUCGGUGUACGGUCUGGGACACUAGUUUUGUUGCAGCAUUGGUUGCAAGGGACUGUUUGUAGCAAUAAAGUGUACUGAAGUUUA